rnacentral:rRNA from 1 species
GACGAACGCUGGCGGCGUGCUUAACACAUGCAAGUCGAACGGAAAGGCCCUGCUUUUGUGGGGCGCUCGAGUGGCGAACGGGUGAGUAACGCGUGAGUAACCUGCCCUUGACUUUGGGAUAACUUCAGGAAACUGGGGCUAAUACCGGAUAGGAGCUCCUGCUGCAUGGUGGGGGUUGGAAAGUUUCGGCGGUUGGGGAUGGACUCGCGGCUUAUCAGCUUGUUGGUGGGGUAGUGGCUUACCAAGGCUUUGACGGGUAGCCGGCCUGAGAGGGUGACCGGCCACAUUGGGACUGAGAUACGGCCCAGACUCCUACGGGAGGCAGCAGUGGGGAAUAUUGCACAAUGGGCGGAAGCCUGAUGCAGCAACGCCGCGUGCGGGAUGACGGCCUUCGGGUUGUAAACCGCUUUCGCCUGUGACGAAGCGUGAGUGACGGUAAUGGGUAAAGAAGCACCGGCUAACUACGUG